rnacentral:rRNA from 1 species
CCCUUAGAUGUUCUGGGCCGCACGCGCGCUACACUGACGAAUGCAACGAGCUUAUAACCUUGGCCGAAAGGUCUGGGUAAUCUCCAAAUUUCGUCGUGAUGGGGAUAGAUUAUUGCAAUUAUUAAUCUUCAACGAGGAAUGCCUAGUAAGCGCAAGUCAUCAGCUUGCGUUGAUUACGUCCCUGCCCUUUGUACACACCGCCCGUCGCUCCUACUGAUUGAAUGGUCCGGUGAAGCGUUCGGACCGUGGCCUUUGGACGGUUCGCCGUCUGUUGGCUGCGGGAAGUUCGUUAAACCUUAUCAUUUAGAGGAAGGAGAAGUCGUAACA